GGACGGGCGGUGGCGCGCGCGUGGCCGCGGCGGCCCGGGCGCCAUCUUGGGCUGCCGAGCCCGCGACGGGGCCGCGCGGGAAAGGCCCGCGGCGCCUUGGGCACCUGAGGCGGGCUCCGGGAGAAACCGCCCCCGCUGCGUUGUCAGUGCACCAAGAGGGGAGGAAAGGCCCCCCUGGCUGAGGGGCAAUCGCAGAGCUGGCACACAGGUUGUGACCUGUGACUGUGUGAGGGCAAACCGAGUUAACGUCGACCUCAGGCGGCCCCCACAGACCUCUCCCACAUUCGAUGUCGUCGUGCAGCAGCAGACCUGUGAGGACUGUCUCACUGUUACCAAUCCAUCUCUCAAGAGUGGGGAGCCUGUGACAUCUGGUUUGUCAGUGCUGCCAAGACACAGCUGCAGAAGAACCUGGGACCAGUUAAAACAUGGAGUGGACAAAAGAAAAGCUUUGAUUAAUGAAAUGAUGGAGAAAAAACCCUUUCAAAUGCAACAUGAUUUCUUCGAGUGGGGAGGAAAGUAUCCCCACAGCUCGGCCCCAGGACUAUGGGCCCUGCACAUGACAGCAGUGUGUGGCGCAGAGCUUUUCCCAGUCCCAGCUGUAACAGGAGACCCACGUGCUGGGCUGUUAUGAGCAGUCAUUCAUGGUGAGUUACAGUGUCCAUUGGCUGUCUUUUCCUAAAAGUUUCCUUUUGAAUGUCUGUUGAUACAAUGUGCAAAGCAAUCAAAACCCCUGUGAAAUUUCCUCCUUCCUCCUCUACAUACCUUUGUUACACAGGCAGUAACCUCACACUAAGUUCCUGUGUCAUUUGCUAGCUUUCUUGGCAUGGCCAACAGCUGUGUCAUGCAAUAGCUGUUUGUGGCAAGUUUCUCAUCCUCUGUGGGAAUGCAGCAUUUUCUCAGACUGACGAGGCAAGAUCCUGCCUGCCUUGAAGAACAUAAGACUCCUGGCACUCAGGAGGAUCAGUGUCAGCAGAAAGGUCCUUGCUAUCCAGGCUGGAUGCCUGUCUUUUGGCACAGAUGAGAGAUACUUUCAUUCUGCCACUGGGAAUGUAAGAAGACAGUGGUAGGAGAGUGGCAAAUGGAAGUACUGAGCUGUGGCUCUUGCAUUUUGUCUGGCUCUAUGGACAUACACAUGCUGCUGCCUCCAUUCCACCAAAAUACAUGAGACCUGGGAGAAAUCUGCAGUGAGCAGCCCACCACACUUACCUUCAGUAGCCUGUGAACAAAACCGUAUUCCUCAUCUCAUCACUUGUUUGUUAAUAGCAAAAUCCAGUGAAAACCCAUAAAAGUGGAUCCAUUUGAAACAUGAUGCCAGUCAUUGCCAAUCACUAAAAUAACUCUUAAGAAAUUCAUCCUCUGUCCUUGAGGGACCUACACACAGGUGAGCAGAUCUCUAAAGUUAUACUGAUGGCUCUUAAGACAUUUACCAGUGGAGAAACCUCAACCUAUUUCAAGCACUUAUCCCUCUAAACCAGGAAGGAAGAAUGCCUCCAGCUUUGAUUUUCUUCCCUUUGUGACAUCUAACCUCUAUUUACUAAUCUUCUUGAUCCAAUUAGAGACAGUAAAACAUUACAUAUCUUGUACUGUCUCUUUGCUUUUGUCCUUGGACAGAAAGGGACCCUCCCUUUCUCUUCUUAGUCCAUGAAGUGGCACAGUGAACAGACAUAAGACCCACCACCUGGUUGCUGAACUUGGAAUGGCCUGCAGGGAGGUCCAGGGAGAACGUCACCUUAGCUGUGGUACCUACAAAUCCUUGACAUUAGCUGUGAACAUCUGACAUUCCCCACAGUACCUAAUGCAUUCACCUUUUUCUGUGGACACACAGCUACCCUGCCUUUGGCCAUCUGUGGCAUUACAAGCUUGGGGAGAGCCUCCUCAUUCCUCUGACACUCGUCCAACAUAUUUCAGCUCUUCAGAGUCCUGCAAGCCCUCGUCCUCAUCAAUGGACACAGCUCUGGGACCCUUCUUUGCUUCUGUGCCCAGAAAGAUGGAGCACCAACCCACAGUGAAUGUACUGCUCAGUGACAAAAAGCUGUCCUCUCUCAACUAGCUUCCCUCUUGUCACCUCUGGCUUUCCAGAGCAGCUUCCUCAAAUGAUCAUUAUAAACAUCUAACUUACUAAAAUUAGAAAAGGGGAAGUAAAAUGCAGUAAACACAAAGUCUCUUGCUUUUGUACUCCAAGCUUUGUCAUUCUUUGAUUUAUCUUGUCCAAAGCAGAUUCCCCCUGCUUGUGCUGGCAUUUUGUUCAUUAGAAACCUUCAGCUAUUGCAUGGCCAGGUGUGCAUUUCCACUGGCAAGAGUGCAGCUGUAGUCUUUUGCCUGCCCUCUUUUCUAAUCCCUGCCAGCAGGGCAAAUACUGCUCUGGUAAUCUACUAAUGCUUUCACCUUUGCAACCCUCAGCUGAUUUCUUAGUCAUCCAGCAGCAACAUAUGAAAGCAAAAAGCUCUGGACAAGACCAGAUACCAACCAUAGGAAGCAACUGCAAUCAUGUUAUCUCACGGCAGAUCUUUAAUCAGACCUGCUGAGGUGCAGAGGACAUGCAUAUAGAACAAGGGCUUACCAGCAUCUGUGCUCUCUGAUAAAUACAGCUGCUGGAGGGGGAACAUCUAAAAAAACCAAAGCACUGAUAAAGGGUCUAAAUGCAGCCACUGAAGCCUCAGCCCCACACAGUGGGUUGUCCUGCAGUGCAUAACUCUGCCAGGUUCUCUCCCACCAGACAAAGGAGACACAAACACCUAAAAGGAAUGACUUUGGCAGUUUGAUGGCUUUCCCCUGCUCAACAGUAAUAGCCACAAACCACUGCAGAGCUGUGUUCCCUUAGAUACUAGGAGGUGGCAAUGCUGGCACCUCCCCUUAGAUGCUAGCUCACACCCUGAGAUGUGAAGGUCCCCAUCUCUCCCUUGCUCUGCCUUUGAGUCACAACCUCCCACAGAGACUACAGACAAUCCCCUAAGACAAGGCUGGCCCUGGAAAGACAGGCAGGGAGAAACAACCACAUGCCAUGGCAUAAGAUAGCACUACCCAGCUUAGUACUUACCCAUUGGCACCACUGUAGUUAUCUGGAGCUUGGACUGGUGGAAGUCAAAGCCUAUAUUCAAGUGUCAGGAGGUAAAGGGGUGUUUUGAUGGUCCAGACUUUGGGCUUGGUGACAGAGAGGAACCUACUUCCUAUUCAUGACUGUAAUCCCAAGAGGUUGGCACAUAAAUAGUGACCAUCAGCAGCAUCCCCCACCGGCCUCCCAGCUGCAGAAGUUCUCCAGCACCUUCCCACUUUUACAGCUGGUGCUAAAUACCAGUUAAUUAAUUUUUUACAGCUGUGUUGGAGGGAUGCAGGGUAAUUUCAUAGGAUUGCUCUCAGGACUCAAGUGGAGAAGAUGAUCCAGGGAGUGAAGUAACAUCCCUGAGGCCAGAGUGAGUCAGUUAUUUUGUCAGAUCUGGGUCCCUCUAAACAUGGGCAUGUCCAAAAGGUUUUAAAAUUGUAGGAAUGGUAUAAAAGUAGGUACAGAGAGAGGUGCACACAGCCAGCACUGAACUGCACAGGCCUUUCUUCAUCAAUCAAGGUUUUGAUAGAGGAGUGUGUUACCAAAGCAGCAGGUUCUGCAAGCUAACCCUUACCAAGCUCUGAAGCCCUCACAGUGGUGGCCUGGCAUGCCUGAGACCUCUCAGCUCAUGACACUGGUGGGUUUGAAGGCAUGGGGCCAGGCUGAUGGCUGGCAGUGCCCAGAACACUGUGCAGGACCCACAGGUUCCGUGCCACUGCUCCUCUCUGUGUGGGGCAGUCUGUGACGGGGUGGAUCAGCCACAUCAGCUCUGCAAUUAGGAGUUUCGUGGCAAAGGUGGCUGUGUCAUACUGUUGUUGUACCCAGAAUGUGUCAUGGGACAGGAGCCUGGUGCCACGUGACCCCUGGGAGCAGGACACUUCAUGGGAGAGGUGACACACAUGUUGCUUCUUCCUUAGCAGUGAGUCAGUGCCAAAAGGUGUCCGAAAGACAGUGCUCCAUGGGUAGGAACCAAACUGGCUGCAUGUGUGGUCUCCAGGAUCUGCAGGUCCAUCUUGGAUGUAUAAAGACCCUCUACAGAGGCCCAGGGAGCUCUUUUGGGCCCUUCCAUGGGAAGGACACAGCCACAUCCCACAGCAUAAUUCCCUCCUUGAACACCAGCCACCUCUCUGCAAGCACAGGGCGCUGUCUAUUAGCUUCAGAUCUAUCCGCCUCAGCUCUUUCAAGUCACAUAUUUUUGCAAUCCCCUCUUGUCUGCUCUAAAAGGAGAAGUAAAUUCCGUAUCAAUGGCAACCACGGGAAGCCUGUAUAAUUUGGAGUGCAUGUUUUCAAAGAAGGUGACAAAGAUACUCAGCCUUGAAGGAUAAGAGUGUGUGGGCAGUAAGGUUUGCUUUGCUUUUAUCUCGGACAAGGCUUUUCAAUGCCUGGUGCCUCAGCAGCUGCAUUUUUGACCCCAGGGAGUUAUGACUCAGUGUUUGCAAAUCCCUGAGCCACCAAAUUGAAGGUAUGCCCAGCAAAGCACAAUUGCCUAAAACUGAAAUGGUUGUAAGUGGGUGUUAAAGCUUCACUUACUUGGUUCCAGCACCCAGGGCUGCCUCCAUAUCCCUGCCUGAUUUUUUGGCAAAUAAAACCCAGCACUGCUUACUUUAUUAAGCUGAACAAGA